CCAUGCCGCGUGCAGGAUGACGGUCCUAUGGAUUGUAAACUGCUUUUGUACAGGAAGAAACACUCCUUCGUGAAGGAACCUGACGGUACUGUAAGAAUAAGGAUCGGCUAACUCCGUGCCAGCAGCCGCGGUAAUACGGAGGAUCCAAGCGUUAUCCGGAAUCAUUGGGUUUAAAGGGUCCGUAGGCGGUUUAGUAAGUCAGUGGUGAAAGCCCAUCGCUCAACGGUGGAACGGCCAUUGAUACUGCUAGACUUGAAUUAUUAGGAAGUAACUAGAAUAUGUAGUGUAGCGGUGAAAUGCUUAGAGAUUACAUGGAAUACCAAUUGCGAAGGCAGGUUACUACUAGUUGAUUGACGCUGAUGGACGAAAGCGUGGGUAGCGAACAGGAUUAGAUACCCUGGUAGUCCACGCCGUAAACGAUGGAUACUAGCUGUUGGGGGCAACUUCAGUGGCUAAGCGAAAGUGAUAAGUAUCCCACCUGGGGAGUACGGGCGCAAGCCUG
rnacentral:rRNA from 1 species